UGGCUGAGUGGUAUAGCGCUUGGCUUCCGAACUGGGGGUCCUGAGUUCAAAUCUCGG
rnacentral:tRNA from 1 species